UACGAAGGGGGCGAGCGUUGUUCGGAUUUACUGGGCGUAAAGGGCGCGCAGGCGGCUUAUUUUGUCAGGCGUGAAAGCCCCGGGCUUAACCUGGGAACUGCGUUUGAUACGGAUGGGCUAGAGUUCGGGAGAGGAGAGUGGAAUUCCCAGUGUAGAGGUGAAAUUCGUAGAUAUUGGGAAGAACACCGGUGGCGAAGGCGGCUCUCUGGACCGAUACGUGACGCUGAGGCGCGAAAGCGUGGGGAGCAACAGG
rnacentral:rRNA from 1 species